rnacentral:rRNA from 1 species
UACGUAGGGGGCUAGCGUUGUCCGGAAUCAUUGGGCGUAAAGAGCGUGUAGGCGGUCCGGUAAGUCCGCUGUGAAAGUCGGGGGCUCAACCCUCGAAUGCCGGUGGAUACUGUCGGGCUAGAGUGCGGAAGAGGCGAGUGGAAUUCCUGGUGUAGCGGUGAAAUGCGCAGAUAUCAGGAGGAACACCUAUUGCGAAGGCAGCUCGCUGGGACGGUACUGACGCUGAGGCGCGAAAGCGUGGGGAGCGAACAGG